rnacentral:rRNA from 1 species
UACAGAGGGGGCAAGCGUUGUUCGGAAUUACUGGGCGUAAAGGGCGCGUAGGCGGCCUGUUAAGUCGAACGUGAAAUCCCCGGGCUCAACCCGGGAACUGCGUCCGAUACUGGCAGGCUUGAAUCCGGGAGAGGGAUGCGGAAUUCCAGGUGUAGCGGUGAAAUGCGCAGAUAUCAGGAGGGACACCGGUGGCGAAGGCGGCAUCCUGGACCGGCAUUGACGCUGAGGAGCGAAAGCCAGGGGAGCAAACGGG